rfam:Gossypium raimondii Chr07_contig_930, whole genome shotgun sequence.
AAUGCAUGAUGAGGGAACCUUCUCAAUAAUUCCUUAUACCUCUCUCAUGCAUUAUAUAGAGUCUCUAAAUCAAUCUGAACAAAGGAAGAGAUGUCAUUCUUCAAUUU